rnacentral:rRNA from 1 species
UUCCUACGGGGGGCUGCAGUGGGGAAUCUUACGCAAUGGGGCAAAGCGUAAUCCAGCACUAUGGCGUCAGUCAAGAUGCCGUUAGGGUGGUAAAGCACUUUUGUCCGGAAAGAAAUCCAUGUCUUUAAUACGGUAGGGUGAUGACGGUACCGGAAGAAUAAGCCCCGGCUAACUUCGUGCCAGCAGCCGCGGUAAUACGUAGGGGGCGAGCGUUUAUCGGAAUUACUGGGCGUAAAGCGUGCGUAGGCGGUUUGUUAAGUCAGAGGUGAAAUCCCGGGGCUCAACCUGGGAACUGCAUUGGAUACUGCAUGUCUGGAGUAUGGCAGAGGGGAGUGGAAUUCCGAGUGUAGCGGUGAAAUUCGUAGAUAUCCGGAGGAACACCAGUGCGAAGGCGCUCUCUGUCCAUACUGACGCUGAGCGGGAAAGCGGCUCC